rnacentral:rRNA from 1 species
UACGAAGGGUGCAAGCGUUACUCGGAAUUACUGGGCGUAAAGCGUGCGCAGGCGGUUUUGUAAGUCAGAUGUGAAAUCCCCGGGCUUAACCUGGGAACUGCGUUUGAAACUACAAGGCUAGAGUGUGACAGAGGGGGGUGGAAUUCCACGUGUAGCAGUGAAAUGCGUAGAGAUGUGGAGGAACACCGAUGGCGAAGGCAGCCCCCUGGGUUAACACUGACGCUCAGGCACGAAAGCGUGGGGAGCAAACAGG